rnacentral:lncRNA from 1 species
GUGUCCGAUUCAACUUUUAGGACGAGAUCUAUUAUCGAAGCUUUAAGCUCAGAUAACCUUUUACCUAAUGGAUUAACAUCUCUGAAGUUUAAGGGAUUACCAGGCAUAAUGGUGAUAUCGGUGCCAAGGGAAGAAGAAUGACGCUUCUAUUCCAUAGUGAUAAGUGUUAACCCUAAGAGUGAUGAAUCCUUAUUUGACAUUCCAGGAGUAUGGGAAGAAAAUAAUCCUCCAGGACUUGCUCGUAAUAUCCCACCAAUACAUAUUGAGUUAAAGCUCAGGGUGUAUCCUGUUAG